AUCAUCGAAUCUUUGAACGCACCUUGCACUCCUUGGUAUUCCGAGGAGUAUGCCUGUUUGAGUGUCAUGAAAUUCUCAACUACCUUUUAGCAUUUUAUGUUAAGGUGAAGUUGGAGCUGGAGGAUAGUUGCUAGUGUGCAACUUGAGUUGCUUGUUAGCUCCUCCUAAAUAAAUGAGCUUUUCUGAUAGAUCAUGGCUCAGUAACACUAAUGUGAUAAUUAUCUACAUUAAAUGUGAAAGCUGUGAGUAGAGUAACUUCAAUUGUGGAGAAGCUCCUAUAGAAAAGGGUAUGUCUUGGGGAUAAAUAAACCCUUGACUUGAAAUAUAAUGACAAAUCUGACCUCAAAUCAGGUAGGACUACCCGCUGAACUUAA
rnacentral:rRNA from 1 species